UAAUGAAGAAAGUAAACAGAACUGGUUAAUGUAGAUUCAAGUUAUCUCAAGAACAAUUAACAUAUGAUAUUAAGUUAGUCCCUCUCUUGUAUUUUCAGAGGCUAUCACGAUCAAAGACGUCAUAUAAUGUGAGACUAUCUUACUACUUAGCAAAUGAAGCGACUUCAUCAACGAGGAAUAUGUCGCUCGGGUUAUAUAUGCACAUAUGUAUAUAAAUCCGGCCCUCCGGGAGACGAGGAGUUGGGUGAGCUUCAUUUAUGUUUAUUUCCGCGACGUACUCGUACAAAGACAAUAACAACACACACAGACAAUGUGACCAGAUUCCCCAGGAACCGUAGACACUUGACGCGGGAUACCUGACAUGAGACAGUACAGGGUGACAGGAUCACUUUGUCGGCCAGAGAUAAGAUAGCUGAUAGACCGAUAAAUAUAUGCUUUAUAGUAUUCUCGAGUAUCAGUAUCCAUAAAGCUCUCAGCGAUAACCCGAGGAUCUCUGUACUGGAUACCGAUAAAGAGGACAGACUAAAUCGUAGACGGAAGACGAGCGCCCCGAAUUUAUGUGGGACAAUGGAAUAACACGACAUGGGUGAAGAUAUCACACACACACAUACAGGCUGUGCUGAGAUUGUUAUGAGGAUCAUUAUUACAGCCCCUGCCUGGUGAUCUGGAGGGAGGUACCAAAGAAACUUAAUUAUAACAAAUUAAUAGAUUUACAUGAGAUGUAAAACAAAACCCCUGUUGAGGUAACAAUAUACAUUACAUACAAAUCGCUCACUCAAUUAUAGGAUUAAAAAUUAUAUAAUCGAAGUACUUCAGAGAGUUCGUUAAGAAUGUAUGCCUGUGUGUGUGUGUGUGUCUGUAUGUGUGCGUGUGUGUGUGUGUGUAGUCAGUUGACAGGUGACGCGGAACGUUGGACGUAAUGUCUUCCGGUGCGGACGCGCGCCGAAUUAAUGACAGGACAGCUUCCUCCUCAUCCCCGGCGGGUUAACGUUCACCAAAAACAACAUUGUCACUCUGCUCGACACACUCGCUAAUACGAGACUCGACCAACAUUACAAUUAAUUAAUUAUAAGACUUUAGUUACCGCCAGUAACAAUAACAAGACCGAGACAAGAGUCAUGACAGAAUAGUAAGAGAUAAUAAAGUGAUAAUUGAGAUGACAUUACAUGAAGAGUUCCCACGGACCGAGGCCACGGUCGACACACGCAGCACACGAACGUAAGGAGGCUGGGGAGGUUGUAAUGAGGCUCGUCACAACACACGCAGUAUAUUAAGAUUUACAAUAUAAUAUUAGUAUGAAAUGACAGUCAGGAAUCGUUAUUAUUUAUAUGUAAGAAAAACUAGGUUUUUUAUCAUUUUACAGUACGAACAUUUUACAUCACUACAUAAUCAUUAUCAUAUAUUUUAAUUUAUUUUUAAUUUAUUUAUAUAUGAGACAGUUGUCAGUCAACAUCGCUAAUGAUAAACAAUUACAAAAAUUAAUCGUCAGAUAAGAAUAUGACAAAAUUAAGUCGAACGAAAGAUAAACGGGAGCGAGAGAUCGAACAACAACGGGCGCGUCAUACACAGAGAAAGACACAGAAGCUGGACGAGGUAGGCGCACCGUCCCCGUCUCCGUCGAUUUUAUAAGAUGGAACCGUCAGCCGGGGAGGAGUCACUGCGGCACAGAGUAUACAGCCACGAUAAGAGACGUGUCACUUAUGAGAUAUGAGAGACGUAAACAUUCUACUUUAGUGAUCUUUCCACAAUCUACGUUAAUAUUAUCAUGGGCCAUGGCGAAAAUGUAUGUAUGAUAUACAGACUCUCCGUAUGUAGUGUGACCAUGAAAAGGUUUUAGUGAGGGUACAGUGAUGGUCCUGUGGAACGUCCGACGUCGAACUGACGUGAACUGACAAAACCGCGGAGCAUUAAUAUACAACGAGAGAGGAGAUUAAAUGGAACCGUUGAAAUAGAAAAGACUUUGAAUAUUACAUAAAAACUGAUAACAUUAUGUAACGUGAUGUAAAUAAUGUGACAUUAAUAAUUAAUAUAC